AGCUGGCUGCCCUGAGGCCGUGACGCUUAGAGACCAUGCAGUGAGACCGCUAAAAGAUGGAGGGAGGUGCCUGAGGAGCCCCAGCCCUCAGCCUCUAGAUGGUCUUUGAUCCCCACUGACGCCAUGUGAGCAGAGACGAGCCACCCAAGUGCAGAUUCAUGAGCUACAUAAGUGGUGGUUGUCGUUGUAUGCUGCGUUUUGGGGUGGAUUGAUACGCGCCAUUAGCUUUAGUUUUUGAUGCCCCUGGACAGAGGACUCCCUCUUCUUACCACUGCGAGCAACUUAACCUAAAGUGGUUGGCCCAGGGCACCAAACAGGGCUGUGCAGGGAGACUGUGCAGGGAACUGUGCUGGGUCAUGACCUCACUGAAGUGUCCGGGCUGGACUUUGAACCCGGGUCUGUAGGAUCCUGCGUUUGGUCCUGGCAGGCGGCAGAGGAAGGCACGCAAGCCAGUGGGGCCCCAGUGACUCAGAGCUGGCAGGUCCCCUGGCCCGCCCUUUCCUACUGACUCAGCCCAGCCAAUUCCGCGGGCUUUUCUGUGGAAUUCAGGGCCCCCAGGCAGCGUUCCUGAGUGGCUGCCUUCUCCUGGAUGCACUCCCUGGAGAGCUGGCAGGCGGCUCGUGUUCCCAUGGCAGUCUCUGCUGUGUCCCUCAGCCCAGCCCUGGACCUCCUGAAUGGGACCCCUCAGCGCAGCCCAACUCCCAGCCCCUGGGAGCCCAAGUUCAGACAGGCACGAAUCUCUCUGUAAUUGAUCUGAACUGGGAUGAGGGUGAGUCGCCUUUCUGCUCCGCUGCUGCCGAGGCUGCUGAGGGUAGUCAUGGGGGAAAGAGAAGGGGGGACAAGGCCACCCAUUCUCCUGCUGACCCCUGUGGAGUCUCUAGCUCAAUCACGUGAUGCUGGAGGGUGGCUCCUGCCGGCCAUUCCUUCCUCCACCUCAGGGUGCCCAGCUGUUCCUGCUUUGGGGAACCCAGGGCUCACCCAGGCCACCAAAGCCUCGGGCCUCAGUUGCCCCGAUUUCUGUAAAAUGGUAGUCUUAUUUCCCCAGUGUCAUUCAGAUAUAAUUGAUAUACAAUGUUGCAUUAGUUGAAGGUGUACAGCACAAUGAUUUGAUACAUGUAUAUAUUGUGAAUGAUUACCGCAAUAUGUUUAGUAAACAUCCAUCUCCUCACAUAGCUACAAAUUGUUUUCUUCUUGCCAUGAGAACUUUAAAGAUCUACUCUCUCAGCAACUUUCAAAUAUACAAUACAGUAUUGUUAACUGUAAUCACCCUGCUGUAUAUUACAUCCCCAGCACUUAUCUUGUAACUGGAAGUUUGUACAUUUUGACUCCCUUCACCCAUUUCCCAUGCCCCUAGCCCCCAUCCCUGGCAACCACCAAUCUGUUCUGUUUCGAUGAGUUCGGUUAUUUUGGAUUCCACAUAUAAGUGAGAUCAUACAGUACUUGUCAUUCUCUGUCUGACUUAUUUCACUCAGUGUGAUGCCCUCCAGGUCCAUCCAUGGUGUUGCAAAUGGUAGGAUUUCCUUCCUUUUCACAGCUAAUGAAAGGUGAUAGUCUUAAAGGCCCUUCUGGCCCAGACUCCUGCGAUUGGCCACAAAAGACUCCCCAGCCUCCUCCUUCCUUCCCCAUCUCCAUGGAAUAGGUCCCAGGGAAGCAGGUCCCCCCUGGCCUACUGCACAGAGUGACCCUAGGGGGACACUGGGCAAUGGGACAGAAAGGGAUGUUGCUAGAUGAAUUCAAUUGAUCAUGUGCAUUUAGGCCCGUCACAUGAAGGGUAGAGAAAACUUAAAUUGUGACUUGCCCAGGGUCACAAGCAAGUGUUAUACUGGGAUUUGAACCCUGGGGCGGUCUGGUUCUGGUGUCGUGCAUCCCAUCAAAAGGAAUUCUCCCCAGUGCCAGGUCCAUUCACCAGUCUCUUACUGAAUACCUACUGUGUGCCAGGUCCCAUGCUGGGUGCUGCCACGUAUGCACCGAUGGGACCCAGGCCCUGCUCUUGGUGAAGAGAUGGCCAGACAAGGUGAGAUCAGCCUAGGGGCUGGGGUCGGGGAGCCCAGGUCCACCAUGCACCCACAUUUCCAGUCUAGAGAAGAGAGAAAUCAAGGCUCUGAUUCCUGGGAUGCAAUCAGAGGUCGCCUAAGAGGAACAGAGAAGGUGCCAGUGUUGGGGGCCUCCCUGAAGGGGUGAACGAAAAAGUAGAUGCCCGUCUCUGUGGGCUUUGAGGCUGGUUUGGGGGAGACAAUAAUAAUCUGGUACAGUUGAUUCUUGAACAACAUGGGGGUUAGGGGUGCCAACCCCUGUGUAGUUUAAAAUCCUCUUAUAACUUUGCAGCUGGCCCUCCGUAUCCCAGGUUCCGCAUCCUUGGAUUCAACCAACCAAGGAUGAUACCGUAGUACAUAUUUACUGAAAAAAAUCUGCAAAUAAGUGGACCUGUGCCGUUCAAACCUGUGUUGCUCAAGGGCCCCCUGUAUUACUACUGAUAAAAGGGAAAGCCAAAGUCUUGACAAUAACCUGUAUGGCCCUUCUGCUCUGUAUCCUUUCCCCUAUCCUCCUGCCUUCUCCAAUCUCCUCUCCUGUCCGACUCCACACCUCAUCCUCACUGUUCUUGGAACAUUCCAGCCCACUCCUGUUGACCAAGACAUUUCUGUUCUUGGAGCAGAAGCAGGCAACAAACAGGUAAAGUAAUCGAAGAAUGGGGAAAUGUCUGAUGGAGAAAACAUGCAAUGGAGAAAACAGCACAGAGUGGCUUGAGGGGGUGCGUGGGAACCGUGCAGGGGGAGCUCUGCCUGUGUGGAUGCUCCUGUCCCAA